rnacentral:snRNA from 1 species
ACAACGUAAUUUUCUGAAAAUAACAUGUCGGUGGUUGUUUUCAGUUUAAUAUCUGAUACGUCCCCUACCCGGGGACCAUAUAUUAAAUAGAUUUUUGGAACAGGGAGAUGGAAUAGGGGCUUGCUCCGUCCACUCCACGCAUCGACCUGGUAUUGCAGUAUCUCCAGGAACGGUCCACUCAAA